GAUGAACGCUGGCGGCGUGCCUAAUACAUGCAAGUCGAACGCAUAGCGAAAGGUGCUUGCACCUUUCAAGUGAGUGGCGAACGGGUGAGUAACACGUGGACAACCUGCCUCAAGGCUGGGGAUAACAUUUGGAAACAGAUGCUAAUACCGAAUAAAACUUAGUGUCGCAUGACACAAAGUUAAAAGGCGCUUCGGCGUCACCUAGAGAUGGAUCCGCGGUGCAUUAGUUAGUUGGUGGGGUAAAGGCCUACCAAGACAAUGAUGCAUAGCCGAGUUGAGAGACUGAUCGGCCACAUUGGGACUGAGACACGGCCCAAACUCCUACGGGAGGCUGCAGUAGGGAAUCUUCCACAAUGGGCGAAAGCCUGAUGGAGCAACGCCGCGUGUGUGAUGAGGGCUUUCGGGUCGUAAAGCACUGUUGUAUGGGAAGAACAGCUAGAAUAGGAAAUGAUUUUAGUUUGACGGUACCAGACCAGAAAGGGACGGCUAAAUACGUG
rnacentral:rRNA from 1 species